rnacentral:lncRNA from 1 species
UAUUUCUUUUAAUUUUAGUCCGGCAAGGUUCAGGCUUUAGCUAGCUUUUUACCAUUUCCUUUAAAAAUUAGGGUAAACAUGCUGCAGUGGUUUUGUUAAUUUCGUUUAGGUUUUGGUGAGAAAAGCUUCCAUCCUUUUCUCUUUCUCCCUAUCUUCCUCUUUCUUUAGUACAUUAUUGGGUUUUUACUCUUUUAGGCUCUCUUUUUAGGAUGUGGUUAGAAUUCCGAAUAGAAUUGCCGCUGCAAAAAGAAGAUUUUCUAAUAAGCAGCAGUUGGAUCAACUGAUAGGGCCGAAACGAAGGAGCCUAAAAGAACUUAAAAACCCUUCUUCUCUCCCAUCCCUUCAUUCCACCUCGAGAAUCUGAGGGAACUCGACCCUUCUCUCUUGUUACAUUAUCUCUGGAACCCUAGCUCUUGCCAUCUCCAUCGAAACCGGAGCGGCCUUAAGGCCCGACCCCAACCGGAGGUUCCCUGGAUUCUGGUAAGAUUUUCUUGUGUUUAAUGUUUAAUCUGUGUUUUUGUUCCUCUGCGGGUGAGAUUUUCUUGGUAAUUCUGUUUCCAAGAUUUAAUUUGUUAAACUAAGGGACAAAUUAUUUCAUCAAUUCCAAUGUUCCGCUUUAAAUUUUGUUUUUGAUGUUUCUGGUCCAAGGGUUUCUGUUAAUUUCUGGAAAGAAUUUAUAGCAAUCUGUUGUUAUUUCUUUUAAUUUUAGCCCGGCAAGGUUCAAGCUUUAGCUAGCUUUUUAUCAAUUCCUUUAAAAAUUAGGGUAAACAUGCUGAAGUGGUUUUGUUAAUUUCGUUUAGUUUUUGGUGAGGAAAGCUUCCAUCCUUUUCUCUUUCUCCCUAUCUUCCUCUUUCUUUAGUACAUUAUUGGGUUUUGACUCUUUUAGGCUCUGUUUUUAGGAUGUGGUUAGAAUUCCGAAUGGAAUUGCCGCUGCAAAAAGAAGAUUGUCUAAUAAGCAGUAGUUGGAUCAACUGAUAGGGCUGAAACAAAGGGUUAUUAUCAGAAAUACUAGAUCAAACUGCACUUAGAGUUAAGCUAUAUUUUUGCCUUCUUCUGUAACUCUUCUGUGAAACCCAUAUUUGCUACUGUGCAAAUUAGUACUGUCUGGUCUGUGUGGGAUUGAAUAGUGAAUCCCAUAGUGACUUAGAAUCCUAUUCAGGCUUCUUCUCGUCUGCUAAAGGGAGCUGUUUCCUCUUUUUCAUUCAGACCUUUUCACCAAGAACAAAUUCCUUUCCAAAGACAUCUAUUGUUAGCUGAAGAAAUUUUAAAGAAAUUUCAAAUUUAAUACAUUAACUCAUAACACAGUCGACCAUAAUUUUAGGACAAUCUGUCCUUUUUUUCCGAUUUUUUUUUGCUUAUGUAUGAGAAUGUACACCUGUACAUUUGGAAUAUAUACUAUUUGGGGUACAAAUGGUAAUUCCUGUACUCUGCAAACUUGAUUUUUUUUUCCUAAUUUUAAGCAUAAUCAAGAAAUGAACAUUGAAGAAACUAACUACAGACACCCAAACUGAACUGUCGAAAUGAGGCAUUUUUAAGUGCUAAAUGUUCCUGUGGAAAAG